UACGUAGGGCGCAAGCGUUGUCCGGAAUUAUUGGGCGUAAAGAGCUCGUAGGCGGCUUGUCGCGUCGAAUGUGAAAUCUCAGGGCUCAACUCUGACAUUGCAUUCGAUACGGGCAGGCUAGAGUUCGGUAGGGGAGACUGGAAUUCCUGGUGUAGCGGUGAAAUGCGCAGAUAUCAGGAGGAACACCGGUGGCGAAGGCGGGUCUCUGGGCCGAUACUGACGCUGAGGAGCGAAAGCGUGGGGAGCGAACAGG
rnacentral:rRNA from 1 species